AGUGAACGCUGGCGGUAGGCCUAACACAUGCAAGUCGAACGGCAGCACAGUAAGAGCUUGCUCUUACGGGUGGCGAGUGGCGGACGGGUGAGGAAUACAUCGGAAUCUACUUUUUCGUGGGGGAUAACGUAGGGAAACUUACGCUAAUACCGCAUACGACCUACGGGUGAAAGCAUGGGAUCUUCGGACCUUGCGCGAUUGAAUGAGCCGAUGUCGGAUUAGCUAGUUGGCGGGGUAAAGGCCCACCAAGGCGACGAUCCGUAGCUGGUCUGAGAGGAUGAUCAGCCACACUGGAACUGAGACACGGUCCAGACUCCUACGGGAGGCAGCAGUGGGGAAUAUUGGACAAUGGGCGCAAGCCUGUUCCAGCCAUACCGCGUGGGUGAAGAAGGCCUUCGGGUUGUAAAGCCCUUUUGUUGGGAAAGAAAAGCAGCAGGUUAAUACCCCGCUGUUCUGACGGUACCAAAAGAAUAAGCACCGGCUAACUUCGUG
rnacentral:rRNA from 1 species